UGGGGAAUCUUCCGCAAUGGGCGAAAGCCUGACGGAGCAACGCCGCGUGAGGGAUGAAGGCCUCUGGGCUGUAAACCUCUUUUAUCAAGGAAGAAGAUCUGACGGUACUUGAUGAAUAAGCCACGGCUAAUUCCGUGCCAGCAGCCGCGGUAAUACGGGAGAGGCAAGCGUUAUCCGGAAUUAUUGGGUGUAAAGCGUCCGCAGGCGGCCCAGAAAGUCUGCUGUUAAAAAGUGGAGCUUAACUCCAUCAAGGCAGUGGAAACUGUUGGGCUUAAGUGUGGUAGGGGCAGAGGGAAUUCUCGGUGUAGCGGUGAAAUGCGUAGAUAUCGGGAAGAACACCAGUGGCGAAGGCGCUCUGCUGGGCCAUCAUUGACGCUCAUGGACGAAAGCCAGGGGAGCGAAAGGGAUUAGAUACCCCUGUAGUCAAUC
rnacentral:rRNA from 1 species